rnacentral:sRNA from 1 species
UAUCACUUCAUCAUCCCGAUGGGGAUCGGGCUGGUAUCGAUAAACGGAAUCACUAAUGCCAACGGCGCGACAGGCCAUUCGAAGGCUUGCGCCAUGCGCUUGCCGCGCAUGAUCCACAAGCUCUCGCCUGAUCGCUGGCUUU